rnacentral:rRNA from 1 species
AUUGAACGCUGGCGGCAGGCUUAACACAUGCAAGUCGAGCGGAGAUGAGGUGCUUGCACCUCAUCUUAGCGGCGGACGGGUGAGUAAUGCUUAGGAAUCUGCCUAUUAGUGGGGGACAACAUUCCGAAAGGAAUGCUAAUACCGCAUACGUCCUACGGGAGAAAGCAGGGGAUCUUCGGACCUUGCGCUAAUAGAUGAGCCUAAGUCGGAUUAGCUAGUUGGUGGGGUAAAGGCCUACCAAGGCGACGAUCUGUAGCGGGUCUGAGAGGAUGAUCCGCCACACUGGGACUGAAACACGGCCCAGACUCCUACGGGAGGCAGCAGUGGGGAAUAUUGGACAAGGGGGGGAACCCUGAUCCAGCCAUGCCGCGUGUGUGAAGAAGGCCUUAUGGUUGUAAAGCACUUUAAGCGAGGAGGAGGCUACUGAGACUAAUACUCUUGGAUAGUGGACGUUACUCGCAGAAUAAGCACCGGCUAACUCUGUGCCAGCAGCCGCGGUAAAAC